rnacentral:rRNA from 1 species
GAUGAACGCUGGCGGCGUGCCUAAUACAUGCAAGUCGAGCGAACGGACGAGAAGCUUGCUUCUCUGAUGUUAGCGGCGGACGGGUGAGUAACACGUGGAUAACCUACCUAUAAGACUGGGAUAACUUCGGGAAACCGGAGCUAAUACCGGAUAAUAUUUUGAACCGCAUGGUUCAAAAGUGAAAGACGGUCUUGCUGUCACUUAUAGAUGGAUCCGCGCUGCAUUAGCUAGUUGGUAAGGUAACGGCUUACCAAGGCAACGAUGCAUAGCCGACCUGAGAGGGUGAUCGGCCACACUGGAACUGAGACACGGUCCAGACUCCUACGGGAGGCAGCAGUAGGGAAUCUUCCGCAAUGGGCGAAAGCCUGACGGAGCAACGCCGAGUGAGUGAUGGAGGUCUUCGGAUCGUAAAACUCUGUUAUUAGGGAAGAACAUAUGUGUAAGUAACUGUGCACAUCUUGACGGUACCUAAUCAGAAAGCCACGGCUAACUACGUG